GUCGUACGAGAGUUUUUAACUCAAGUGGCGGACGGGUGAGUAACACGUAAGAAUUUGCCUUUAGGAGGGGGAUAACAACUGGAAACGGUUGCUAAUACCCCAUAUGCUUUCGAGUGAAAUGGUUUUUCCGCCUAAAGAGAAGCUUGCGGCUGAUUAGCUUGUUGGGGAGGUAAUGGCUCACCAAGGCGACGAUCAGUAUCUGGUUUGAGAGGACGAUCAGACACACUGGAACUGAGACACGGUCCAGACUCCUACGGGAGGCAGCAGUGGGGAAUUUUCCGCAAUGGGCGAAAGCCUGACGGAGCAAUACCGCGUGAGGGAUGACGGCCUAUGGGUUGUAAACCUCUUUUUUCAGGGAGGAAUAAAUGACGUGUACCUGAGGAAUAAGCAUCGGCUAACUCCGUG
rnacentral:rRNA from 1 species